rnacentral:rRNA from 1 species
ACCAUGGAGGAGGCCUAACACAUGCAGUCGAACGGUAACAGGAAGUGCUUGCACUUCGCUGACGAGUGGCGGACGGGUGAGUAAUGCUUGGGAACUUGCCUUUGUGAGGGGGAUAACAGUUGGAAACGACUGCUAAUACCGCAUAAUGUCUACGGACCAAACGGGGCUUCGGCUCCGGCGCAAAGAGAGGCCCAAGUGAGAUUAGCUAGUUGGUAAGGUAAAGGCUUACCAAGGCAACGAUCUCUAGCUGUUCUGAGAGGAAGAUCAGCCACACUGGAACUGAGACACGGUCCAGACUCCUACGGGAGGCAGCAGUGGGGAAUAUUGCACAAUGGGGGAAACCCUGAUGCAGCCAUGCCGCGUGUGUGAAGAAGGCCUUCGGGUUGUAAAGCACUUUCAGUUGUGAGGAAAAGUUAGUAGUUAAUACCUGCUAGCCGUGACGUUAACAACAGAAGAAGCACCGGCUAACUCCGUGCCAGCAGCCGCGGUAAUACGGAGGGUGCGAGCGUUAAUCGGAAUUACUGGGCGUAAAGCGCACGCAGGCGGUUUGUUAAGCUAGAUGUGAAAGCCCCGGGCUCAACCUGGGAUGGUCAUUUAGAACUGGCAGACUAGAGUCUUGGAGAGGGGAGUGGAAUUCCAGGUGUAGCGGUGAAAUGCGUAGAUAUCUGGAGGAACAUCAGUGGCGAAGGCGACUCCCUGGCCAAAGACUGACGCUCAUGUGCGAAGGUGUGGGUAGCGAACAGGAUUAGAUACCCUGGUAGUCCACACCGUAAACGCUGUCUACUAGCUGUUUGUGACUUUAAGUCGUGAGUAGCGAAGCUAACGCGAUAAGUAGACCGCCUGGGGAGUACGGCCGCAAGUUAAAACUCAAAUGAAUUGACGG